rnacentral:snoRNA from 1 species
AAGACUAUCAGGGAUCAUUUCUGUCGUUUGUUCAUUAUUAGAAAAGUUUCUCUGAUCCUGUAGAGCACAUGAAACUCCAAGGAGCCAGAACACCCUCUUCUGAGUGUGAAGCUGGUUCUAGGUUGUUGCCUCUUACCAUGAAACUUCUUCUCUUCCUUAGCAACUUCUCUUUUCUUUUUUCUUUUCUCUAGCAACUGCUUCUCUUUCUUUGGAAGAGGGAGAGGAUGCAGUCUGAG